CCGGCGACCGGCGGACGGGUGCGUAACGCGUAUGUAACCUACCUUUGACAGGGGGAUAACAUCGAGAAAUUGGUACUAAUACCCCAUAACAUCACCGGAGGCAUCUUCGGUGGUUGAAAACUCAGGUGGUCAGAGAUGGACAUGCGUUGUAUUAGCUAGUCGGUGAGGUAACGGCUCACCAAGGCGACGAUACAUAGGGGGACUGAGAGGUCAACCCCCCACAUUGGUACUGAGACACGGACCAAACUCCUACGGGAGGCAGCAG
rnacentral:rRNA from 1 species